CUAAAUCUGGAAGCUGAGUCAUGGGUAUUUAUAAUCAACAACAGAUGUUUAUUAAUGAUGGUAGUAGCAAUAAAGAAGGAAAGAGUUGUGUGGGGAUAAUUCGUUAAUAUCAGGGGAUAAAGAAGUUGUACUUCUAUUUGCAUUCAUGCAGAAAGAAGAAGAAAUCAAGUUCAUACUGAAAUCUUUGCUGUUGUAAGAUUGAUCACCAAGCAGCCCAUCCAAGAUUCACCCCUUAGCUCUGUCUCCCUUGUCUACGUAGACAUUUCAGAGUAGAAAAAUAAAACACUUAUUUCUC
rnacentral:lncRNA from 1 species